UUACCUUGGCCAUGUUACAACCAAAUAGAAGUCAUUUUGAUUGUUGUGUGCAUUUAUUUCAAUUGUGGAUGUUAGAUUAUUUUCAAGCUUAUGAUAGUACUAACUUUUAUGUUGUGCUUUGAGUGUAAACAAUUAACCUAAAUACUUGAGAGUUGAGUUAAUUUUAUCCUGUGAGGAUCAUACUGCUUUUGGAUGUACUCU
rnacentral:lncRNA from 1 species